rnacentral:rRNA from 1 species
UACGUAGGGUGCAAGCGUUAAUCGGAAUUACUGGGCGUAAAGCGUGCGCAGGCGGUUGUGCAAGACAGGUGGGAAAUCCCCGGGCUUAACCUGGGAACUGCACUUGUGACUGCACAGCUGGAGUACGGCAGAGGGGGAUGGAAUUCCGCGUGUAGCAGUGAAAUGCGUAGAUAUCGGGAGGAACACCAGUGGCGAAGGCGACUUCCUGGCCUGUUCUUGACGCUGAGGCGCGAAAGCUAGGGGAGCAAACGGG